UACGUAGGGUCCGAGCGUUGUCCGGAAUUAUUGGGCGUAAAGGGCUCGUAGGCGGUCCGUCACGUCGGGAGUGAAAACUCAGGGCUCAACCCUGAGCGUGCUUCCGAUACGGGCGGACUAGAGGUAUGCAGGGGAGAACGGAAUUCCUGGUGUAGCGGUGGAAUGCGCAGAUAUCAGGAAGAACACCCGUGGCGAAAGCGGCUCUCUGGAACGGUACUGACGCUGAGACGCGAAAGCGUGGGGAGCGAACAGG
rnacentral:rRNA from 1 species